GUGGGGAAUUUUGCGCAAUGGGGGAAACCCUGACGCAGCAAUGCCGCGUGGAGGACGAAGGUCUUCGGAUUGUAAACUCCUUUUGCAGGGGAAAAAUGUUCCGGUGAAUAGCCGGAAAUGAUGGUACUCUGCGAAUAAGCCACGGCUAACUUCGUGCCAGCAGCCGCGGUAAGACGAAGGUGGCAAGCGUUACUCGGAAUCACUAGGCGUAAAGCGUGGGCAGGUGGUUCGGUAAGUCUGUUGUGAAAGCUCCCGGCUCAACCGGGAGAGGCCAAUGGAUACUACCGGACUUGAAUGUGGGAGAGGUGACUGGAAUUCCUGGUGUAGCGGUGAAAUGCGUAGAGAUCAGGAGGAACACCCAUGGCGAAAGCAGGUCACUGGACCACUAUUGACACUGAUCCACGAAAGCUGGGGGAUCAAACAGGAUUAGAUACCCUAGUAGUCC
rnacentral:rRNA from 1 species